rnacentral:rRNA from 1 species
AUUGAACGCUGGCGGCCUGCCUAACACAUGCAAGUCGAACGAGUGGCGGACGGGUGAGUAAUGUCUGGGAAACUGCCCGAUGGAGGGGGAUAACUACUGGAAACGGUAGCUAAUACCGCAUACCAUCGGAUGUGCCACGAUUGGAUUAGCUUGUAGGGGAGGUAACGGCUCACCUAGGCGACGAUCCCUAGCUGGUCUGAGAGGAUGACCAGCCACACUGGAACUGAGACACGGUCCAGACGCCUACGGGAGGCAGCAGGGGGUAAUAUUGCACAAUGGGCGCAAGCCUGAUGCAGCCAUGCCGCGUGGAUGAAGAAGGCCUUCGGGUUGUAAAGUACUUUCAGCGGGGAGGCGUUACCCGCAGAAGAAGCACCGGCUAACUCCGUGCCAGCCGCCGCGGUAAUUC